GCCUCCCAGUGGGGCUUUAUAACCAUCCAGGCCCUGAGGUAAGAGCCUCCCAGUGGGGCUUUAUAACCAUCCAGGCCCUGAGGUAAGAGCCUCCCAGUGGGGCUUUAUAACCAUCCAGGCCCUGAGGUAAGAGCCUCCCAGUGGGGCUUUAUAACCAUCCAGGCCCUGAGGUAAGAGCCUCCCAGUGGGGCUUUAUAACCAUCCAGGCCCUGAGGUAAGAGCCUCCCAGUGGGGCUUUAUAACCAUCCAGGCCCUGAGGUAAGAGCCUCCCAGUGGGGCUUUAUAACCAUCCAGGCCCUGAGGUAAGAGCCUCCCAGUGGGGCUUUAUAACCAUCCAGGCCCUGAGGUAAGAGCCUCCCAGUGGGGCUUUAUAACCAUCCCCAGGCCCUGAGGUAAGAGCCUCCCAGUGGGGCUUUAUAACCAUCCAGGCCCUGAGGUAAGAGCCUCCCAGUGAGGCUUUAUAAUCAUCCAGGCCCUGAGGUAAGAGCCUCCCAGUGGAGCUUUAUAACCAUCCAGGCCCUGAGGUAAGAGCCUCCCAGUGGGGCUUUAUAACCAUCCAGGCCCUGAGGUAAGAGCCUCCCAGUGGGGCUUUAUAACCAUCCAGGCCCUGAGGUAAGAGCCUCCCAGUGGGGC